GAUCAUUCAGCACNGCCGCGUUAUAGCUAUCCACAUGGUUAUUGUCUAUANGGAUCUCAACACUGGCCGCUCGUCGUUACAGCCUAACACAUGCAAGUCGAGCGCACCUUCGGGUGAGCGGCGGACGGGUGAGUAACGCGUGGGAAUGUGCCCAGAUCUACGGAAUAGCCUCGGGAAACUGAGAGUAAUACCGUAUACGCCCUUACGGGGGUAAGAUUUAUCGGAUAUAUGGAUUAGCCCGCGUAUACGAUAUAGGUAGUUGGUAGGGGUAAUGGCCUACCAAGCCUACGAUCUAUAGCUGGUUGAA
rnacentral:rRNA from 1 species